rnacentral:snRNA from 1 species
UUGCUAGCUUUGGCAGUACAUAUACUAACAUUAGGAUGAUACAGAAAUUAGCAUGGCCCCUGCAUAAGGAUGACAUGAAAAUUCAUGAAGUAUUUCAUUUUUAC